GACGAACGCUGGCGGCGUGCUUAACACAUGCAAGUCGAACGGUGAAGCGAGUGCUUGCACUCGUGGAUCAGUGGCGAACGGGCGAGUAACACGUGAGUAACCUGCCCAUCACUCUGGGAUAAGCACUGGAAACGGUGUCUAAUACUGGAUACGACCAACCCUUGCAUGGGGUGUUGGUGGAAAGAUUUAUCGGUGAUGGAUGGACUCGCGGCCUAUCAGCUUGUUGGCGGGGUAAUGGCCCACCAAGGCGACGACGGGUAGCCGGCCUGAGAGGGUGACCGGCCACACUGGGACUGAGACACGGCCCAGACUCCUACGGGAGGCAGCAGUGGGGAAUAUUGCACAAUGGGCGAAAGCCUGAUGCAGCGACGCCGCGUGAGGGAUGACGGCCUUCGGGUUGUAAACCUCUUUCAGCAGGGAAGAAGCGAAAGUGACGGUACCUGCAGAAGAAGCACCGGCUAACUACGUG
rnacentral:rRNA from 1 species